CGGCGGCCCGGCGGGCGACCUCCGCCUCGUCCCGGCCGACGCAGACGACGAGGGCGUUGGAGUAGGUCAGAUCGUCGCCGUUGCGGCCGGCC
rnacentral:tRNA from 1 species